rnacentral:rRNA from 1 species
AGGAAGCAAAUAAGGGCACAGGGGGAAUGCCUAGGCUCUCAGAGAUGACGAAGGACGCGAUAAGCUGCGAAAAGCUACGACGAGCUGCAAAUAGGCUAUGACUCGUA